rnacentral:tRNA from 1 species
GCGGGCGUGGUGGAAUUGGCAGACACGCUAGACUUAGGAUCUAGUGACUUAGGUCAUGGGGGUUCAAGUCCCUCCGUCCGCACCA